UAGGGAAUAUUGGUAAUGUGCGAAAGCGCGAACCAGCAACGCCGCGUGCACGAUGAAGGCCUUCGGGUCGUAAAGUGCUUUUAGAGAGGAUGAGGAAGGACAGUACUUUCUGAAUAAGCCUCGGCUAACUACGCGCCAGCAGCCGCGGUAAUACGUAGGGUGCGAGCGUUAAUCGGAAUUACUGGGCGUAAAGCGUGCGCAGGCGGUUUUGUAAGACAGAUGUGAAAUCCCCGGGCUUAACCUGGGAACUGCGUUUGUGACCGCAAGGCUGGAGUACGGCAGAGGGGGGUGGAAUUCCACGUGUAGCAGUGAAAUGCGUAGAGAUGUGGAGGAACACCGAUGGCGAAGGCAGCCGCCUGGGCCUGUACUGACGCUCAUGCACGAAAGCGUGGGGAGCAAACG
rnacentral:rRNA from 1 species